GGAAGAAGAACUAGAGCGAAGAGGGGGACCCGGUAUUUUGGGAAUAGAAGAACUAGAGCGAAGAGGGGGACACGGUAUUUUGGGAGAAGAAGAAC